ACGUCAAUGAAGCCACCCAAGUAUGCAUUUCUUGGAAAAGGGGAACAAAAUGAAUCUAAAAUCCUCACCAUCUCCUCCCCUUGCCUGGAGGUCC